rnacentral:rRNA from 1 species
GUAAGGAAUAUUGGUCAAUGGACGAAAGUCUGAACCAGCCAUGCCGCGUGGAGGAUGAAGGUCCUCUGGAUUGUAAACUUCUUUUAUCUGGGACGAAAAAAGGUCUUUCUAGAUCGUCUGACGGUACCAGAUGAAUAAGCACCGGCUAACUCCGUGCCAGCAGCCGCGGUAAUACGGAGGGUGCAAGCGUUAUCCGGAUUCACUGGGUUUAAAGGGUGCGUAGGUGGGUUGGUAAGUCAGUGGUGAAAUCUUCGAGCUUAACUCGGAAACUGCCAUUGAUACUAUCUGUCUUGAAUAUUGUGGAGGUAAGCGGAAUAUGUCAUGUAGCGGUGAAAUGCUUAGAUAUGACAUAGAACACCUAUUGCGAAGGCAGCUUACUACGCAUAUAUUGACGCUGAGGCACGAAAGCGUGGGGAUCAAACAGGAUUAGAAACCCGAGUAGUCC